AUGCCCUCUGUUUGCAUUUAGGGUUUCAAAGAAUCCCAAACAACCAGAGAUUGACUGUAAGAUCUCCUUUUCAACUAUGUGUACUUAUUUUUCUAGGUAUUAUUUGUUGAAUAAUUCAGUGGUAAUGUUGCCCAUUCCAAUUGCAAAACCAAGCUUCGGCACUUCAUUAUCUUAUCUCCACCUUGAUGCCAUUAUAGGGUUUUUGGGUUUCAUGGGUCUAAUUUGGUUAACUGAUGCUCAAUCGGGGAGAAUGAAUUCAAAGUAGGGGUGCUGCUUGAUGGCACGGAUUAUUCAAUGGCAGCUAGACCAUUGCUGGUGGUAGACUCUCCACUCCACUUGCAGUAGUGGUAACUGCAGGUGUAUGGUUAUUUUGUCGAUCAUUUGUAGCAGUAAGUUAAUUUCUGGUAAAUGCAUACUAAUGUUUAUAUAAUUCAAGAAAAGCAAGAAGAACAACUGUGGAAGGAAAUAUUAAGAUAUACAUAAUUUAGAAAUGUCACUUUCUUCUCUCUUUUUUCCCCCUAUGGUUUUCAUAGUCAAACACUGGAAUCAUGGAAUUUAAUCUUUUGUCGGUGCAUAUAUAUGUAAAGCUGAAUCAUAUGAUAUACUGGCACUCAAUUUUGAAAUAUCUACUAAACUCGUAAGAACUAGUUGAGUUUUUGUAUGUUAAAUGUAUUGAAUUUAUCUGCAUCAUUUUGUGUGCUUUUGUACUAAUUGUAGUGACUAAAGCCAUAAUUUUUUUUUUUUUUUG